CUUACAUUGGUGCUUAAUGUGCCAGACAAUGUUCUGAAUGUUAGCAUGUAACUCGUUUAGUCCUUACCACCAUCCGUUUGGGUAGAUAGCAUUGUAUCUCAUUUUAUAAAUAAGGAAACUGGAACAAAGACAAAUAGAUUCUCCACUGCCAUGCAGUCUUGUGAGUGGCACAUUGAAGAUUCAAACUAAGUAAGUAUGGGUAUAAAUCUUGUGCUCAAAACCAGUACAUUAUUCUGAAAGAAAUGGCAAGGAAGGAAAACUUGAGGAAGUCAUAAUAGAAUUUCAGAGGGGACUUCCAUUUAGUGUGAGGUAAAUAUUUGGACGUGACAUUAAAGCUGAAUAUCUGGAAAGGAAAUAUCUAGCCAAAGAGUGGGGAGAGGACUGCUCUAACAGAGAGAAGCCCAUGUAAGGGCCUUGAAAUGAGGCUAAGUUUCUAGCACAAAUGGAGUCUGGUGAGGGAGGGAGAGAAGGUCAGGAGGGGAGACUGAAGAAGUCAGCUGUGACCAAAAGGAGAGGAGGAAGGUGAGGAGACAGAGAGAGAGAGAGAGAGAGAGAUAAGGAGAGAGGAAAAGAAAUAUAACGCCUCUGAAGUACAAAGGAAAGUCAUUAUUUAUUCAUGAUCUAAUUGAUACUUUAAUUCUGGCUGGAAUGUAGAAAAUGAAUUGGAAGGGCAAGAGGGCAAGUAGAAAGACAGUGGACCAUGAGAGUAUUCCAGGGGCUAGUUCAUGGCUUGGAUAGGGAAUGGCAAUGAAAGACAUGUAGAGAGACUCAGGAUGUACCUGAGGAGGUGAGAGCCCAGGACAACAAUAGUUUGGGCUUUUGGGUUUGGUUUUCUUUCUUUUUUUUUUUUUUUUAAUUUUUUUUUUAAAUUUUUAUUUAUUUAUGAUAGUCACAGAGACAGAGACAGAGAGAGAGAGGCAGAGACACAGGCAGAGGGAGAAGCAGGCUCCAUGCACCGGGAGCCCGAUGUGGGAUUCGAUCCGGGGUCUCCAGGAUCGCGCCCUGGGCCAAAGAAAUUGAAGAGUACCACGGGAAUGCUGUAUCGCCAUAGCAAGUGCUGCUUGUGCUUCUAG
rnacentral:lncRNA from 1 species